rnacentral:rRNA from 1 species
CCUACGGGAGACUGCAGUGGGGAAUAUUGGUCAAUGGGCGCAAGCCUGACCCAGCGACGCCGCGUGAGGGAAGACGGUCUUCGGAUUGUAAACCUCUUUCAGCAGGGAAGACAAAAGGACGGUACCUGCAGAAGAAGCCACGGCUAACUACGUGCCAGCCGCCCCGGUACGACGGAGGUGGCAAGCGUUAUCCGGAAUUACUGGGUGUAAAGGGUGUGUAGGCGGGUUUGCAAGUCAGAUGGGAAAAUUAUGGGCCCAACCCAUAACCUGCGUCUGAAACUACAGAUCUUGAGAGGGGGAGAGGUAAGCGGAAUGCGUGGUGUAGCGGUGAAAUGCGUAGAUAUCGGGAGGAACACCAGUGGCGAAGGCGGUUUACUGGACCACAACUGACGCUGAGACACGAAAGCGUGGGGAGCAAACAGGAUUAGAUACCCGAGUAGUC